rnacentral:rRNA from 1 species
AAAUUGAAGAGUUUGAUCAUGGCUCAGAUUGAACGCUGGCGGCAGGCCUAACACAUGCAAGUCGAACGGUAACAGGAAACAGCUUGCUGUUUCGCUGACGAGUGGCGGACGGGUGAGUAAUGUCUGGGAAACUGCCUGAUGGAGGGGGAUAACUACUGGAAACGGUAGCUAAUACCGCAUAAUGUCGCAAGACCAAAGAG